rnacentral:rRNA from 1 species
GAUGAACGCUGGCGGCGUGCCUAAUACAUGCAAGUCGAGCGAAUGGAUUAAGAGCUUGCUCUUAUGAAGUUAGCGGCGGACGGGUGAGUAACACGUGGGUAACCUGCCCAUAAGACUGGGAUAACUCCGGGAAACCGGGGCUAAUACCGGAUAACAUUUUGAACCGCAUGGUUCGAAAUUGAAAGGCGGCUUCGGCUGUCGCUUAUGGAUGGACCCGCGUCGCAUUAGCUAGUUGGUGAGGAACGGCUCACCAAGGCAACGAUGCGUAGCCGACCUGCGAGGGUGAUCGGCCACACUGGGACUGAGACACGGCCCAGACUCCUACGGGAGGCAGCAGUAGGGAAUCUUCCGCAAUGGACGAAAGUCUGACGGAGCAACGCCGCGUGAGUGAUGAAGGCUUUCGGGUCGUAAAACUCUGUUGUUAGGGAAGAACAAGUGCUAGUUGAAUAAGCUGGCACCUUGACGGUACCUAACCAGAAAGCCACGGCUAACUACGUGCCAGCAGCCGCCGUAA